CCUACGGGAGGCUGCAGUGGGGAAUAUUGGACAAUGGGGGGAACCCUGAUCCAGCCAUGCCGCGUGUGUGAAGAAGGCCCUCGGGUUGUAAAGCACUUUCAGUGAGGAAGAACGCCUGGUGGUUAAUACCCAUCAGGAAAGACAUCACUCACAGAAGAAGCACCGGCUAACUCCGUGCCAGCAGCCGCGGUAAUACGGAGGGUGCGAGCGUUAAUCGGAAUUACUGGGCGUAAAGCGCGCGUAGGUGGCUUGAUAAGCCGGUUGUGAAAGCCCCGGGCUCAACCUGGGAACGGCAUCCGGAACUGUCAAGCUAGAGUGCAGGAGAGGAAGGUAGAAUUCCCGGUGUAGCGGUGAAAUGCGUAGAGAUCGGGAGGAAUACCAGUGGCGAAGGCGGUCUUCUGGACUGACACUGACACUGAGGUGCGAAAGCGUGGGUAGCAAACAGGAUUAGAUACCCCGGUAGUC
rnacentral:rRNA from 1 species